GGUUUUUUCAUCCAGACGUUUCCACUUAUGAAUAUAUUUUCAUCUGGGAUGAAGACCUGGGAGUGGAACACUUCAAUUCAGAGAGAUACAUACAAUUGGUCAAGAAGCAUGGUCUGGAGAUCUGACAACCAGAAAUUGCAGGCAAACUAGGUUAUAGAGAUGUAUCAGAUCUUACCCCAACAGUGAUUGCAACAGAGGCAUUGGAACAGAUUGAAGUGUAUCUAAAGGAGGAAGGUGGCAUGGCUUUGAAGAAGCUAUAAAUAUGGUGAUUGAAUU